rnacentral:rRNA from 1 species
UUCGAAACUGGCAGGCUUGAGUCUUGUAGAGGGGGGUAGAAUUCCAGGUGUAGCGGUGAAAUGCGUAGAGAUCUGGAGGAAUACCGGUGGCGAAGGCGGCCCCCUGGACAAAGACUGACGCUCAGGUGCGAAAGCGUGGGGAGCAAACAGGAUUAGAUACCCUGGUAGUCCACGCCGUAAACGAUGUCUACUUGGAGGUUGUGCCCUUGAGGCGUGGCUUCCGGAGCUAACGCGUUAAGUAGACCGCCUGGGGAGUACGGCCGCAAGGUUAAAACUCAAAUGAAUUGACGGGGGCCCGCACAAGCGGUGGAGCAUGUGGUUUAAUUCGAUGCAACGCGAAGAACCUUACCUGGUCUUGACAUCCACAGAACUUUCCAGAGAUGGAUUGGUGCCUUCGGGAACUGUGAGACAGGUGCUGCAUGGCUGUCGUCAGCUCGUGUUGUGAAAUGUUGGGUUAAGUCCCGCAACGAGCGCAAC